CGGUGUUUAACUGGCGUGAUGUGGGACGUCCUACCGGUGGGCUUAGCCUCGCGAGGGGCGGCCCAACUAAUAUCCCGUCGCGGUGCUCUUUACUGAGUGUCGAGUCGGGCCGGUACGUUUACUUUGAACAAAUUAGAGUGCUUAAAGCAGGCUAUCCUCGCCUGAAUACUGCGUGCAUGGAAUAAUGGAAUAGGACCUCGGUUCUAUUUUGUUGGUUUUCGGAACCCCGAGGUAAUGAUUAAUAGGGACAGAUGGGGGCAUUCGUAUUGCGACGUUAGAGGUGAAAUUCUUGGAUCGUCGCAAGACGGACAGAAGCGAAAGCAUUUGCCAAAAAUGUUUUCAUUAAUCAAGAACGAAAGUUAGAGGUUCGAAGGCGAUCAGAUACCGCCCUAGUUCUAACCAUAAACGAUGCCAGCUAGCGAUCCGCCGAAGUUCCUCCGAUGACUCGGCGGGCAGCUUCCGGGAAACCAAAGCUUUUGGGUUCCGGGGGAAGUAUGGUUGCAAAGCUGAAACUUAAAGGAAUUGACGGAAGGGCACCACCAGGAGUGGAGCCUGCGGCUUAAUUUGACUCAACACGGGAAACCUCACCAGGCCCAGACACCGGAAGGAUUGACAGAUUGAUAGCUCUUUCUUGAUUCGGUGGGUGGUGGUGCAUGGCCGUUCUUAGUUGGUGGGGCAAUUUGUCUGGUUAAUUCCGAUAACGAACGAGACUCUAGCCUGCUAAAUAGGCGUACCUUAUGGUAUCGCGAAGGCCCCCGGCUUCGGCCGGUGGGUUUUUACUACCAACGUACAAACAAAUCUUCUUAGAGGGACAGGCGG
rnacentral:rRNA from 1 species